CUCGUUUUGACUUUGGGGAAGAAUCAGAAAUUGCAUGGCAUCACAUCUAGUGAGUAAGAUGGAUUGGAGCUCACUGUUUUACCAGCCUGCUUUUCCAUCUGAUAGCACUUGGCAAUGACAUUCACUGUAUUUUUGAUCAUUCUUCACAGAAACACUCACAGAAGAGGACUUCCAGAACUGUUUCAGAAAGUAAGAAGAGUGAGGCAGUGUUACGUACACGAACCAACUACCUGCAAUGAAUGUAAUCAUUAUUUGACAAAGAAGACUAAAUUGGGGCUACAGAAUCUUCCCUUCUGAACUCAUUGUAUAACCAAGAAGAAGCCAUGACAAGUUUAAAAUGUCUACAGGAAAAUCAUCUGACUACACCAACAGGAGAGAAGUAACUAAGACACGUUCCAGAGACAAAGAGACAGAGCAAAACAGCUGCGGUCAUGAAGAAGGCUGGGGCCUCUGGGUGGUGCAGUUCUGCCUUCAACCUCCUGUGAUCUUGCCGGUGGAACGUGGAAGUGUCGAACUCUGCCCAUUCCCACGGGAUUUCACGGGGCCAGUGGGGGAGCAAAAUCGAGAUUCAUGCGCAUUGAAAAAUAAAAUGCCCUCAUCACAUUUUUUUCCUGACCUUAAGUGAAACUAUCUCCUCACUGGGAUUGUUUUUUAGUGUUUUUUGUUUUGUUUUGUUUUGUUUGUUUUUUUGUUUUCUUGCUUCAUGUCAAGUUUAUAGAAAAGAAAAAAAUUUUUUUUUUCUCGCAGCAGCAAGAGGAUGAAUUGAUGCUGGUGAGUGAACCUUGACAGAGGCUCAUCUAGAGGUGAGUCCAAGCAGGCUUCUUUCCUCUUCCCCUGCCUGCGCUCUUUGUUGUAUCCCGGGGCAGAAUAACUGAUGGGAAAUUACACUAUAGGAGAGUUGAGUAUUGCUUUAAAAUGCCAAUAAGACAAGCUUGGGAGCAGACAAUAGAGGCUUUAUUUCAUUUCAUUUUAUUUUGCUCAGGAAUGCUUUAUAUGCCAAAGCUUUGUGGCAGAACUGGGUGAGUGGGAGGAAAUCAGACUUGUAAAAAACUUAACCUUGAACAAAGAAAACACCAAAAGCUUCAUGUUGCUCACUGCACUCAAAGCUGUCUCAGGGACAAAGCCAGAUCAGGUGGCAUGAGGUGUGUGGAUAACACAAAUGCAAAAGGCCCUCCUCCCCUCCACAAAGGUUCUGCUAGUCUAUUUAUUCCAUCUCCUCUUUGUGGCCGAACUACUCCAGGGAAGCAAAUCUCCUAGCAGGGAAACCUUGCUUUGCUUCAUUCUGAGAACUCAGAGCUGGCUGUGAGGACUAGGCUGCUCCCUCAGUGGCCCAGGGGACCACUUUCCUUGGUCCAGGGGACCCCUUUCCUUGGUCCAGUCUUUCACCCAGGAACUUGGGCAGAGUGUAUUGUCACCUUCUUCUUAUGGUGGUUUAGGAAAGAAUAGGUAAUGAAUGAAGAUCUUUGUGUGGAAGAUGAGGACAGAGAAGGUUAAGAAUUAAAAAAAUGAAGGUCCUGGAUACAAAUUCUAUUGGUCUGAGUGAAUGUGGUCCUGGGAAGAGCUGGCUGGGCAGGGCUCCCGUAAGCAAUGGGGAUUCCCCUGAGGAGCUGUAGGAGGAGUGUGGUCUCUGUCCAGCCUGCUGGCCUCACCUGGGAUUUGUGUGGGUCAAAACCAAUCUCAUUUUGAACAGAAAUGAGUCCAACUUUAAUUUGAUUAUUAGAAGAAAGGCCCUCAGGGGCUGGAGAUUUAGCUCAGUGGGGGCUGGGGAUUUAGAUCAGCUGCACAGUGCCUGCCUGGCAAGUGCGAGGUCAUGAAUUCGAUUCCCGGUACCAGAAAAAAAAAAAAAAAAAAUGAAAGCCACCCUCAAGGAAUUAUAAUUCAGUUUUCUUUUCCUUCCAUCCUUCUUUCCCCUUUCCUUUCCUUUCUUUUAAUUUUUGAGAAACAGAGCAGUGUAUUUUGUUUUCUUCAUUGAGAAGGAAGUUGAACUUAUUUGGCCUUCAGAAAUCUGUUUCACUGUCCAAUUCCAAUGAAACUUUAUUCUUUAAAAGCAGAGAUGUUUGGCAAUUCGGUUUUCUUGGUUUAUUUGAUGUUUGGAUGUAUACAUAUGAGUUUGUGUCUGUUUCCUGCUGUGUUCUCUAUGUGUCCCUUCCAGAAUUCGAGGUGGAAGCUGAAUGGGAAAUGUGAUGCUAUUGAGAGCUGGGGCCUUCCAGAGAUGGUUGGGUCGUGAGGACCUUUCCUUGUGGGCCGGGGUUACUGUCCUUAUGAAAGUGCUUGACUAAGAAAUUCCUCUCCUUUCCCUUCCACCUGCUGCUAUGUGGAGACACAGCUCCCAUCAGCCAAACCUGCCAAGGCUUUGACCACAGACUCUGCAGCUUCUGGAACACAGAAAAUAAAUUUCUGUUCUUUAUAAAUUAUCCAGUCGGUGAUAUUUUAUUAUAGCAGCACAAAAUAGACUAAGGCAUCUCCUUAGAGUCAGCACAAGAUCUUUCAGUUGAAAAUUCCUUUUGGUCACAAAAUAUUUCUAGGACUAUCGGUAGAGACCUGGCAAUAAAGGUAAUAUUGUGGUGGCCAUAGCUUCUGUGGCUCUUUCAUAAAUAAUUAAAUUAGUGGUCCUAUCAGGAGAAGCUGGAAUGGAAGCUGGAAUCACAAAACUUUAUGCUAGCCACAGCCCAAAGUGCCCUUUGACAAAUCAUAAUAGUGCAUAAUGGGAUGGCCAAGUAUUGCUUUUUGGGUUGGUAGGUGAUGUCAGUGAUGAUUAUUUGCUUUGAUAAAAAUGUGGAUGAUACUACUCAGCUAUAAAGAAAGAUAAACUCAAGGUUUUAUAGGUAAAUGGUCACAACUAGUGACCAUACUCAUAAGUGAAAUAAAUCAGACCUGCAUGUGUAAGCACUGUAUUGUCUCACUAGUGUAAGACCUGAAAGAGUGAAUAAAAAGUAGGAGCUAUGAAAGACAUUGUGACACAAAAGGAAAAUGCUCAAAAAUAAAGGGGAACUGGGGUGUGAAAAAAGAGAAGAGAAAGAAGGGGAAAUUAUGUAAGUAUGUGUAUACAGGACAGCCAACAUAGUUGAACUACUGUCUUCUAUUGCUUUACUGAAAGAAACAGUUAAUGAUUAGUUGAUUGAUCAGUGUUGCAUGUCUCUAUUUGCUUUACUGAGAAACCACUUUGAAGAUAUCAAUAAGUAAUACAACAAGCAUUGUUAAUUUCCUACCACUUUGUUUGUAACACUGUAUUGUUUGUACUGUUCUUUUGCUAUUUUAUAAAUGGUUGUCUGUUUGUUAAUGUGUUUAAAUUUAAAAAAUAAAAAAAUAAAAAUGUGGGCGAUUG
ensembl:lincRNA